UGCCACAUAGUGUAGCGGUUAGCACCUUUGGUUUUGAGCUCCCUCAAGCAUCAACGUCCAAAUAACCCGGGUUCGAAUCCCGGUGAGGCAU